GCCUUCAUGGUGUAAUGGUCAGCACGCUCGAUGCGUAUUCGAGAGAUCCAAGGUUCGAGUCCUGGUGAAGGCA